AAAAAGACAAAUCCUGAAUUUUCGUGUCCAACUUUGACUGUCCGUCUUAUAUAAAUUUUUUAUAAUUCAUAUUUUCAUUGUUGUUAGAUGAUAAAACAUAAUUAAUAUUUUAUGCGUGACUUGUCUUUUUAAUUAUUUUUUCAUAAUUUUUUUAAAUAAGACGGACGGUCAAACGUUAGACACAGAAACC
rnacentral:pre_miRNA from 1 species